CCUACGGGUGGCAGCAGUGGGGAAUAUUGGACAAUGGGGGAAAGCCUGAAGCAGCGAAGUCGCGUGAGGGAAGAAGGACCUAGGGGUGGAAAGCUCCAUUAGUAGGGGAGAAAAUGACGGUACCUGUUGAAGAAGCUCCGGCUAACGACGUGCCAGCAGCCGCGGUAAUACGUAGGGUGCAAGCGUUAUACGGAUGUACUGGGUGUAAAGGGAGCGUAGUCGGGAGCACAAGGUUGGAGGGAAAUGCCGGGGCUUAACCCCGGCACGGCUUUGGAAACUGUGCAGCUUGAGUGCAGGAGAGGUAUGUGGAAUGCGUGGUGUAGCGGUGAAAUGCAUAGAUAUCAGGCAGAACUCCGAUGGCGAAGGCAGCAUACUGGAGUGUAACUGACGCUGAAGCUCGAAAGCGUGGGUAGCGAACAGGAUUAGAUACCCCUGUAGUC
rnacentral:rRNA from 1 species